UUAUGAAUGUCUUAUUUUAUUUCCAGCAUGUGAAAUCGAUUACAUUCUUAAAAUCAACAUCUCCUUAUGACCACGUUGUAUAACAAAAAGGAAUUAAACAUGAACAUUUUUGUAUACAAACUUCGCUAGUCAAGAUUCUUCCUCCUGAUUUAGAAUUUCAGUGUCCUCGUCAUCAAAUUUUGCACGUCUAAAAUAUAAAAAAGUAGGUUAAUUCUUUGCAAUGCAUUGUAAAUAAAAUAAAAUAAGAUUCUCAAAUAUACAAAAAUAAGUAGGUCCAACAAUAUUGACACAGGCAGAUACACAUCACUGCAUACAGGUAUACGUACCAGCAUUUCCAAGUUGUAGAAACGGUUCAGCAACUGCAGAACAUCAAAAGGAGAGAAUUGUCUACUAAGGCUGUGACAGCAAAUUACCCAAGUGUCAGUAUGGAAAAAAAGAAGAAGGUUAUCACUCUUAACACAAAAAUUAAUUGAAAUAAGGGAAAGAAAUUAAGAAGAUAAGGCACAAGGCAGAGCAGACCUUCUCCGCAGAUAUUCAGUCAGCCCAUAGAGGAUGUAUUCCUGGGGGAAUAUAUAUAUAUAUAUAUAGUUAAAAAGUUACAAUUAGUCAGAUAAGCUGCUCAUAAAUGCAAGUUAAAGAAUAUUUUGCUUUCUCCACAAUUUAGGACACACAAGACCAUAAUAACAAUGAGAUUUGUAAUAUCAAAAGAAAGUAUCAGGUGGUUUAGAGAAAGGUUGGCUACAUAUCAUAAGAAACAGUUUUCUGAUAGUUUCGGAUUCUUGAUGCUUAUUCCGGCCGGUCUACAUCAGCAUGACAUGAACCAAAAAUUCAGGAAUACAUGAUUGAUUUGAUUCAAGUAUUUUCAUCAUAAAUAUUAAUAAUAAUGUAGAGAAUAAUACAUAAACAAGGAACAAAAUAUCUAGCAGUAGAAACACCUAAGAUCCUAACAUCAACCUCACCUGCCAAGGCUCAAAACUUUUCAGAUAAUGUACAGACCAUGCUUCAGUUCACUAACUGAGCUACAAAUCAAAUUAUUAGUGCAGCGCCAUCCCAUCCCAUCCCAGUAUAACAGAGGCCAACCUCAAAAUCAGUUUACACCAAUUAAUUAAUAAAUAAAUGGCAAAAUUAAACUUGGCACGUUUUACUUAAUACACCACUCAACUUUUAAUUUUUUAGAUUACUCCAUUAAAUUAAUUAAAUUUUUUUAAUUGGGUCAUUCCGUCCAAAAUAGUUGACAGACGUUAAAGUGGCGCUGACAUGGCACUGAUGUGACAAAAAAAUAAAAAAAAAUUGCUUAUGUGGCAAAAAAAAAUCAAAUUUUUUUUUUAUUUUAAAAUUAACAUUUUAAAUUUUAAAAAUAACAAAAACAUAAUAAAAUACAACAAAAAAUUUAAAAAA
rnacentral:lncRNA from 1 species